rnacentral:rRNA from 1 species
GACGAACGCUGGCGGCGUGCUUAACACAUGCAAGUCGAACGGAAAGGCCCUGCUUGCAGGGUGCUCGAGUGGCGAACGGGUGAGUAACACGUGGGUGAUCUGCACCUUACUUUGGGAUAAGCCUGGGAAACUGGGUCUAAUACUGGAUAGGACCAUGCUGUAGGUGGUGUGGUGGAAAGAUUAGUUUCGGUAAGGGAUGAGCUCGCGGCCUAUCAGCUUGUUGGAGGGGUAAUGGCCUACCAAGGCGUCGACGGGUAGCCGGCCUGAGAGGGUGGACGGCCACAUUGGGACUGAGAUACGACCCAGACUCCUACGGGAGGCAGCAGUGGGGAAUAGUGCACAAUGGGCGCAAGCCUGAUGCAGCGACGCCGCGUGGGGGAUGACGGCCUUCGGGUUGUAAACUCCUUUCAGCCAUGACGAAGCCCUUGUGGUGACGGUAGUGGCAGAAGAAGCACCGGCUAACUACGUG